CAGGGUGGCAGUUCACAUCAACUGUACAAGUCAGUUCAUUCAUAGAUUUUCACAUUGCCAAAGAAUACGUUGAUCUAUCCUGCUCAUGAUUACAAGGGAUUCACUGUAUGGGACUCUCUAUUGUCUAUUUCUUCUGUACCCUGUAUACCGAGGCAGCUUCUUUUGCCACACAUUUGCUUGAGAUGCAGCUUAGCACCGUUGGGGAGGAGAUGCUUUAUAAUCCUCGACUCACAAAAGAUGAGGUAUAUAUUUCGUGGUUCCAAAAGUGUUAACCCUUGUAGUUGCUAAAUUUAAUGUUCUUCAGGAAGAUGAUACUGAUACUAUCUGGUUGACAAGUGGAUGUCAAGAUUUUGUAUAUCUACAUAUAUCUUGGGUCAACAAAUGUUUGACUAAGAUGUCUUAGCAUGAUUUUGACCUGGGCAAUAUUAGUGUGAAGGAGCCUCUGCCUAAAAGCAACCACCUAAUUUACCAAGAAUAGUUAGUACCGGUGUUACACAGAUGUAAAAGAAUGCAGAAUUUUAAGGGAAAGUAGUGAGAAAUAGAUUUUUCUUUUAUGUGAGAUACUAGCUGAAUAAAUUAGUAGUCACUGUAAAGAGUCUUGACCAUAUGCGCUGCAUAGAUGCACUUUUAUUUUUCAUUUAUCAUGUGAGUAUUUUAACACUUCUUCCCUAUAUGUAUCAAACUAGUUUAAUUUUGAACUCUUUUUUACAGGAAGCAUUUCAAAAUAUCAUGGAAAGUAAGUAAAACUAUCUAGCAUCCAAUUUUUUUUAGAAGUAACCAAGUCUAGUUUGAUCUUUCAUUUCAUUGAGUAUAUGAUAAUUCCAACCAUUUCAGGUUUGAGUUAAGAAAAAUGAUGUUUCUUAGA